UUUACAUUGAGAAUAUUGGUGACAACGUUAAGCAUUGAAUCUAAGAGAGUUCAUGGUGGGGAGAGCACUGACCAGUUCUACUUUUUGCAUAGUAGAAAUCAUUGGCUUGGGAACAUGGCCUGCUGCUGUAGCUAGUCACUCAGCAAGUCUCGCUUAACAGCUACAGGAAAAAAUUAUUACAGACCAAAGACUUUCAGUUUCUAGGUUUUAGUAUUAACAUUGUCCUCAGUGAGGAUUAUCUACCACUCUCAAAUUGAUUUAAUAUACGAACUUGUAAUAGACCAGCACAUCGUGGAAAUGACUGAUACCUGGAGAGGUCAAUCGUUAGUGCCACAAAUAAUUAGAGUUUUACUCUCUCACUCCCCUGAGAAAAAAUUAUUUUAUGAACAUGGAAGAUAAGUCAUUGCAGCGAGAUUCCAUAGGAAGGCUAUAUUUGGGAGCAAAACCUCAAUGAAAACAAAGAUCCCAGAAUCACAUUCACCUCUUUGUGUUGGUGAGUUGGCAGGAUACAUUAUGGAAUUGUAGCUGCUGCAUCAAUGCUCCAUACCAGUUUCAACGCUAAUAUUACAUAUUAGGCAGAGUUGGAGGUCCCAUCAGAUGAUCUGACCUACACUGGUUAAAUGAGUAUUUACCUAAAUGCAUGAAGACAUUAAGACUCAAAGACAUCAAGGUUCUAUUUCUUGUUGGUUUUGAUUUUGUUUGUUUCUAAUACAUAGAAUGGUAGAUCAUCUGAUAAGAAUUUGCACAGCCAAAACUACUGAUGAAGAAAUAUGUAUAAUCAAAAGCAAAGUAGGAAAAGCAGUUACUGUGCAUGUCAAAGUGUGCCUAUUUCAAAAUUAGUUUGUACUAAAAUCCCUUGUAAUUUCUGAUCAUUAAUGUAGUUAAUAAAUAUUGUCUAUAUCAUUUCAACACACUGCUAAAUAACAGACAAACAUAGUUUUGACCUGACUUUCAACGGAAACUAAAUUAACAUCUCUAUUUCUGAGAUUGUUCCAAGGCCUACUGAACUCAGUAGAUAUUUUUUCACAAGUGCCAGUGAAUUUUGGAUCAGUCCCUAUAAGACAAAAUCAUUUCAAAGCAGGAAAUUCUUUUAUUUUCUUUUUCUUCUUCAUUAUAUCAUGUUUUUGGAAUGUUCUUACAGUGGUUCAUUCAGGAAGGAGCCAUCUCUCAGCAGAGAAAAGGCAGAGGAAAAAGUUUCAUUAAUUGCAAAACCUAUCCAGUUUUUGAUGCAGUCUUCACUUUUGUCAUGAAUUCACACAUUUUUUUGAGUCCAGGCCCCAGAGAUUAAAAAUAAAAGAUAUCAAAGCUAGGCCCUAAGACAUAAAAAAUGAUAUUGCGAAAAAUUUAGGCUGUAGAAGGGUAAUGCAAAUGGUCAUUGACUUCAUUAUAAAAAUCUUUGGCAACAACUUUUCCAGACCCAUGUUAAGCCUUGAGAGAGAAAUGUUUCAGCACAGAACCACUUAAUCAUUUAUAUGAAUGAAAAUGAGUGCAAACAGAAUGCUGAGAUGGUUUUAAGAUCACCUCUUUUUUCUUGUACAGAAUACCCACUAUAAUUACAUUUUGCCUGUCAGUUCAUAAAUUUUGCUUAUUACAAAACGGGCAUUAUUGAUUGCUUUUUAAAAGUACUAAAACUAAGCUAAGAGCAGUAGAUCUCUCAGCAAAUUCAAAACAUACUAUCUUCCAAACUAAUCACUGGCAAAGAGACUGUGGAAAUACUAUUGAAGUUUAUUGUAAGCCCGAUGCAAAAAAAAAUUGAAGUUACCAUGAGUUUUAGGUUAGUAACUUGGCUUUGAAUUUAGGAUGUUUUAAGCCACAGUGAAAAAAAAAAAAAAAAAAAAAAAAAAGAUAAACUUAUUUGGCAAAGUCAGACACUUUUAAAGCCAACAUCCUGUAAUUGUUUCCUCAUUUGGCCUGGCAACUUAAACAAGGAUAAAAAGCAUGGGCGGGGGGAUGGUGUGUGCAAAACACUAAAUUUUUCAGAAAGAAAGAAUUGAAGGAGAACAAAGAAAUCAAGGUACUCGUCUCAUUUGUGGUAAAUGAAUAUGUAAAUGACAUUUGCUCCUUUUGUUCUCUUAGAUAGGAUUCAAUAAAACAAAAUGAAGGUAACUCUCUAGUCUUGUGGGAAAAAAUGACUGAACGGAGAAUUUUCAUGGUUUGAAUUAGUGCAAACAGCGGACAUUCUGACACAGUUGACUAGCAAUGCAGAAGAGCCAAACUGAUAGCAGGCAAUAUAAGAACACUUGGCCUCUCUGAGACCAGCUGAUUAAGCAUCUCCAAGCAAGAUUAAUACACACUAGGAACAUCCUUAUUUAGAACUAGUAAGAAAUAAAAGCUAUCAGAAAGGAUUUAUUUCUGCCAUUCUUAUCAAAAUAAGAUUAAGGGCUGAUGUCCACAGAUAGUUAAAGGAGAGAGAGGCGAUGUCAUAUAAAAAGAGAAAUUAACAGUGUUUGCUAUUGGAUUAAAUCUAAGCAAUCUCCAAAGCUGCUCAAACUUUUCCUCUUUUCACUGUUGUAUUGUUGCCAGUCCUGAGCUAAUACUGGAAAAAAAUUAGGUAGCUACUGAUCUGGCUAGGGAACAAUGUUCUAUUCAAAGUUAGUAUCUGUUCUAAAUAUCAAGCAACAAAAUUUACUGUCCUCUCUGUAAAGAGGGGUAAGAAGAAAAAGAAAAAACACAUUUAUAUCAAUGUCAAGCCAAGAAAGUAAUUUUGUAUUAACCUAACAAAAUGGAAUAUAUAAAAGUAUUUUUUGAAGUAGAAAUAAUUUAAGAACCUUCUAAAUAACUUAACAGUACACUUGGCUACACUUGGAUUUAGGAAGCAAUAUUUUACAUGCAACAGUAGAUUGUAUUUUUUUUUUUCAGCUUUAAAUCCACAGACAGAGCUGUACUCCAUCAAGAAAUGACAACAGCAAACCCAAUGCCUCAUGUGAAAGUAACAAAUUAAAUUUAGCCGUAGCUAGAAAAUGGUCAGAUAAUAAGGCUAUGAUUCGACAUCUAUGUUAAAGGCAGAACAGUUACGUGUUCAGAACACUUACAUGUAUCAAAGCGCUCACACGUUGUCCCAGUGUUAGCUGAGUAACCACCUGCAACUUGAAAAAGUCUUUGGUCACUAAGGUUUUAAAGACACUAAAGCAAAUUUUCUGCAAUUAUCUGUGAAACUUACUAAAACAGCAUGCAUGCAAAAUGCCUUUGUUGCUUCAGUUGGGAAGAACAGAACAAAAAUUGCAGACUUGGGCUAGUGUUACUGUUCUCUUUCACAAUUCUGGUCAUCUGAAGAGACCACAAGGCAUGCGUACAAGGUACCUGAUUGCUGUGUAACAUAGGUAAACGAUCUGCUGAUAGACUGCCGUUGAAAUCAAGACUAAGCUCUCCAUAAUUUCCAUGUUAGCAAGCAAACACAAAAUUCCUAAUAAAAAAGCCCUAAUUUUGGGAGGAUGAUACAUGGAACUAUGCAUCUUGAUUGCGAAAUAAGCAGCAGGAAGAAGACACCGGGAGGAUGGUUGAGGUCAGCUUCUUUGUGAACUGUGUGCCUGAAUUUCCCUUCCCUGAGAAGGAUGGAGGUGCAGAAGUGGCUGGGAGAAGACAUAGCCAAGACAGCUGACCAUAGAUGACCAAGGGAUAUUCCAUAUCAUGACGGACACUACAUUCAGCACUAAAAGCUGGGGGAAAGGAGAAAAGAGUGGAUGUUCACAGCUAUGGUGUCUGCCUUCCCAAGUAAUCAUUACACACGAUGAAGCCCCACCUCCCUGGAAACGGCUCAACUUCUGCAUACCAAUGACAAUUCUCAUUCGCAUCCUCCUGGAGGGGAGCACGCAAGUUUAGCUGCCUACCAUGGAUAAAUCACGAGAAUGCUUCAUGCAGAAGUCUGAAAUGAAGGAAAAAGUGCAUCUUUUGUAUGUAUACGGCUUUACGAUACACUUCAUCUGUCUGCCAAACUCAGAGAGUGGUGAGGUCCAGACACCAGGCCGUGCCAGAGAAGCUGUGGGUGCCCCACCUCUGGAGGUGUUCAAAGCCACAUUGGAGGGGGCCCUGGGCAGCCUGCGCUGGUGGGGGGCAGCCCUGCCCACUGAAGGGGGGAGGGGUUGGAACUGGGUUGGCUAUAGGUCCCUUCUAACCCAAGCCUUUCUAUGAGUCUAUGAUCAUCUCAUUCUCCUCCCCUCAGUAAUGGUUUGUAACACAUCUUUGUCCCAUAUUAAAUAAUUGAGUGAAAAAUAAACCAACUAUGGAUC
ensembl:lncRNA